GAACGCUGUGUACGUGCUAAGUAAGGAGCAGCUCAAGGAUCUGAUUCCAGCUCCCAAGAGAGAUGAAGCUAAGACAACUGGAUACUCACGCACAG